AACUUUUGGCAACGGAUCUCUUGGUUCUGGCAUCGAUGAAGAACGCCGCGAAAUGCGAUAAGUAAUGUGAAUUGCAGAAUUCAGUGAAUCAUCGAAUCUUUGAACGCACAUUGCGCCCGCCAGCAUUCUGGCGGGCAUGCCUGUUCGAGCGUCAUUUCAACCCUCGCGCCCAUCCGGGCAGCGGUGUUGGGGACCGGCACCCGCCCCCCGGGGCGCGCCGCCCCCCAAAUACAGUGGCGGCCUCGCUGCAGCCUCCCCUGCGUAGUAGCACACCUCGCACCGGAGCGCCGCGCGGCCACGCCGUAAAACCCCCGACCACCAUGAGUUUGACCUCGGAUCAGGUAGGAAUACCCGCUGAACUUAUGCAUAUCAAUAAGCGGAGGCU
rnacentral:misc_RNA from 1 species